rnacentral:lncRNA from 1 species
GAAGGUGGGGAAGGAGGGAGGGUCUCCGGAGGAGGCCUGUGGGGCCAGAGGGUAUCCGGGACCCGCAGACCCAAAAGAGGAGGAACAUCGAGGCCGGGGUUGGCAGAGGAAAACGGGGGAUGCUAUCCUGCAAAAGUUCCAGGUGCCCACACUGGAAACUUGGAGAUCCUGCUUCCCAGACCACAGCUGUGGGGAACUUGGGGUGGAGCAGAGAAGUUUCUGUAUUCAGCUGCCCAGGCAGAGGAGAAUGGGGUCUCCACAGCCUGAAGAAUGAAGACACGACAGAAUAAAGACUCGAUGUCAAUGAGGAGUGGACGGAAGAAAGAGGCCCCUGGGCCCCGGGAAGAACUGAGAUCGAGGGGCCGGGCCUCCCCUGGAGGGGUCAGCACGUCCAGCAGUGAUGGCAAAGCUGAGAAGUCCAGGCAGACAGCCAAGAAGGCCCGAGUAGAGGAAGCCUCCACCCCAAAGGUCAACAAGCAGGGUCGGAGUGAGGAGAUCUCAGAGAGUGAAAGUGAGGAGACCAAUGCACCAAAAAAGACCAAAACUGAGCAGGAACUCCCUCGGCCACAGUCUCCCUCCGAUCUGGAUAGCUUGGACGGGCGGAGCCUUAA